CAAGCCAAACUCCUAUGUAUGGCCGCUGAGUCAAGCAUUGGUGAUGCCGGCGAUGCUUCGGAGACAUUAGAACUAGAGUUGAACAGCGCCUGCGAUGGAAUGACCCUAUCCGCGCCAAAUUCAGAGCAUUCCACAGGCAAAGACGACCCUCAAGAUCCUGGCUGGACGAAAAGAAUGCUUGUUGGUGUGCACCUGAUGAACGCCCCCGUGUGCUGGCAGAAUGAGUGCCCUGGAGAAAACAUUGAGCAGAUAUGCAGAAAAGAAAACGGAGACAGUCAUAAUUCCUGCUGUAGGAAGCAACUUUGAUUCACUCGGGGGAAUCCCAAAGAAGAGUAACACACGGACAUGCCAAUGCAGGUGCCCCGCAAUGAUACGAUUGCUUCGAUCAAAUGACAAUGGCUGGUACAGAAGCGAGUACAGACCAGCGCAUAACCAUUCACUAACAGAAAAAUAUGGGGAGAAAGUUUACUAGCCUUCGCACAGGCAUAUUGAUACAUACACCCGUGACGUUGUGAAGCAACUCCGUGAAAAAUGAUAUUAGUGUUGGCAAGGUCUACAAUAUAAUUGGUAGUUUCUUUGGUUCAAUGACCAACGUACCAUUCAUCAAAAGAGCAUUAGUCGAGAACAAGCAGACGAUGAUGUGAAUAAGACAAUGGAUGUUUUUGCUGAGUUGGGAGCAAAGGAUUCUGGGCUCUACUGCAGAGUACAACCUGAUGAGGAGAGCCGCAUACGGAAUUUGUUAUGGUCAACAGGAGCAAGCAGAGCACAAUACCAUUAUUCCGGAGAUGCAAUUGA